rnacentral:Y_RNA from 1 species
GGUUGAUCUGAGUGCAGUGGUGUUUACAACUAAUUGAUCACAACUGGUUACUGAUUCCUUUGUUCCCUCUCCACAAACACUGCCUCACUUGACCAUAA